ensembl:snRNA U6 U6 spliceosomal RNA
GUGCUCACUUCAGCAGCACAUAUACUAAAAUUGGAAUGAUACAGAGAUUAGCAAGGCCCCAAUCAAUGCAAGGAUGACACUCAAAUUUGUGAAACAUUCCAUAUAUUU